AUUGAACGCUAGCGGGAUGCCUUACACAUGCAAGUCGAACGGAGUGGCGAACGGGUGAGUAAUGUAUCGGAACGUGCCCAGUAGCGGGGGAUAACUACGCGAAAGCGUAGCUAAUACCGCAUACUAUUGGAGCGGCCGAUAUCGGAUUAGCUAGUUGGUGGGGUAACGGCUAACCAAGGCGACGAUCCGUAGCUGGUUUGAGAGGAAGACCAGCCACCCGUGGACCUAGAAACGGCCCCAGCUCCUUCGGGAGGCCGGAUGUGGGAAUUUUUGGAAAUGGGGGAAACCCUGAUUCAGCCCUCCCGCGUGUUGCAUGAAGGCCUUCGGGUUUUAAAGCCAUUUUGGCAGGAAAGCGGUACCUGCAGAAUAAGCACCGGCUAACUACGUGCCAGCAGCCGCGGUAAUAC
rnacentral:rRNA from 1 species